UACUCUUGAAAGUUAUAUAGCAGGGUUUGG
rnacentral:piRNA from 1 species